rnacentral:rRNA from 1 species
UACGAGGGGGGCGAGCGUUGUUCGGAAUUAUUGGGCGUAAAGGGUGCGUAGGCGGCCUGACAAGUCUGAUGUGAAAGCCCCGGGCUCAACCUGGGAAUUGCAUUUGAGACUGCGUAGCUAGGGUGCGGAAGAGGGAAGCGGAAUUUCCGGUGUAGCGGUGAAAUGCGUAGAUAUCGGAAGGAACACCAGUGGCGAAAGCGGCUUCCUGGUCCAGCACCGACGUUCAGGCACGAAAGCGUGGGGAGCAAACAGG